CCGAAUAAAGUGCCGAAUUGCGUUCUAAAAGAAACGAACAUACUGUUCUCAUUCAGUUAGAAUGCAAUUCGGCAGUUUUGUGUAAAGUGACAGGAAGCAUCGUGGGAACACAGAGGGAAGGUAAGGAUCAUGGGAAAAUUGCUCUGACCAGCGGAAAUGAAGCACACUUUGCUCCUCCGCUGGUCAAGCGGAGGAAUCCUCCAUAAGGCAAAGAGUCCCUACUUUGUCUUAUGAUUUUAAAGAAAACUAAAGAAGACAGGAAGAAAAGAA